GGCUGGUGUAGCAGAGGUCGCCGACAGCGGUGUUCGCGCCGCCGUCGACCUUGUCGCCGUCGGAGGUGUGCGGCGCGGCGUCCGCGUACCGGCUG
rnacentral:tRNA from 1 species